UACGUAGGCAGCGAGCGUUGUUCGGAGUUACUGGGCGUAAAGAGUGCGUAGGCGGUUUUCUAAGUUUGGUGUGAAAUCCCCCGGCUUAACUGGGAGGGUGCGCCGAAAACUGGAAGGCUUGAGUAUGGGAGAGGUAAGCGGAAUUCCUGGUGUAGCGGUGAAAUGCGUAGAUAUCAGGAGGAACACCUGCGGUGUAGACGGCUUACUGGACCAUAACUGACGCUGAGGCACGAAAGCGUGGGUAGCAAACAGG
rnacentral:rRNA from 1 species